AUAUGCCGAGAGGUGAAACGAAUUUCGCCUGGGGAUGAGCUCGCGUCUGAUUAGCUUGUUGGUGGGGUAAAGGCCUACCAAGGCUUCGAUCAGUAGCUGGUCUGAGAGGACGAUCAGCCACACUGGGACUGAGACACGGCCAAGACUCCUACGGGAGGCAGCAGUGGGGAAUUUUCCGCAAUGGGCGCAAGCCUGACGGAGCAACGCCGCGUGAGGGAUGAAGGCCUUUGGGCUGUAAACCUCUUUUCUCAAGGAAGAGCAUCUGACGGUACUUGAGGAAUAAGCCACGGCUAAUUCCGUGCCAGCAGCCGCGGUAAUACGGGAGUGGCAAGCGUUAUCCGGAAUUAUUGGGCGUAAAGCGUCCGCAGGCGGCCGUUUAAGUCUGUUGUUAAAUCGUGGAGCUCAACUCCAUCACGGCAAUGGAAACUGUUCGGCUUGAGUAUGGUAGGGGCAGAGGGAAUUUCCGGUGUAGCGGUGAAAUGCGUAGAUAUCGGGAAGAACACCAGUGGCAAAAGCGCUCUGCUGGGCCAUUACUGACGCUCAUGGACGAAAGCCAGGGGAGCGAAAGGGAUUAGAUACCCCUGUAGUCCUGGCCGUAAACGAUGAACACUAGAUGUUGGGGGAAUCGACCCCUCCAGUGUCGUAGCUAACGCGUUAAGUGUUCCGCCUGGGGAGUACGCACGCAAGUGUGAAACUCAAAGGAAUUGACGGGGGCCCGCACAAGCGGUGGAGUAUGUGGUUUAAUUCGAUGCAACGCGAAGAACCUUACCAAGGCUUGACAUCCUGCGAAUCUCCAAGAAAUUGGAGAGUGCCUUCGGGAACGCAGUGACAGGUGGUGCAUGGCUGUCGUCAGCUCGUGUCGUGAGAUGUUGGGUUAAGUCCCGCAACGAGCGCAACCCACGUUUUUAGUUGCCAGCAUUCAGUUGGGCACUCUAGAAAGACUGCCGGUGACAAACCGGAGGAAGGUGUGGACGACGUCAAGUCAUCAUGCCCCUUACGCCUUGGGCUACACACGUACUACAAUGCUGCGGACAAAGAGU
rnacentral:rRNA from 1 species